rnacentral:rRNA from 1 species
AGAGUUUGAUCCUGGCUCAGGAUGAACGCUGGCGGUAUGCUUAACACAUGCAAGUCGAACGGUCGCAAGACAGUGGCGGACGGGUGAGUAACGCGUAAGAAUCUGCCUCUAGGUUCGGGAUAACAGAGGGAAACUUCUGCUAAUACCGGAUGUGCCGCAAGGUGAAAGAUUUAUUGCCUGGAGAUGAGCUUGCGUCAGAUUAGCUAGUUGGUGAGGUAAUGGCUUACCAAGGCGACGAUCUGUAACUGGUCUGAGAGGAUGAUCAGUCACACUGGGACUGAGACACGGCCCAGACUCCUACGGGAGGCAGCAGUGGGGAAUUUUCCGCAAUGGGCGAAAGCCUGACGGAGCAAUACCGCGUGAGGGAUGAAGGUCUGUGGAUUGUAAACCUCUUUUGUUAGGGACGAUGAUGACGGUACCUAACGAAUCAG